rnacentral:rRNA from 1 species
GACGAACGCUGGCGGCGUGCUUAACAUAUGCAAGUCGAACGGAAAGGCCCUGCUUUUGUGGGGUGCUCGAGUGGCGAACGGGUGAGUAACACGUGAGUAACCUGCCCUUGACUUUGGGAUAACUUCAGGAAACUGGGGCUAAUACCGGAUAGGAGCUCCUGCUGCAUGGUGGGGGUUGGAAAGUUUCGGCGGUUGGGGAUGGACUCGCGGCUUAUCAGCUUGUUGGUGGGGUAGUGGCUUACCAAGGCUUUGACGGGUAGCCGGCCUGAGAGGGUGACGGGCCACAUUGGGACUGAGAUACGGCCCAGACUCCUACGGGAAGCAGCAGUGGGGAAUAUUGCACAAUGGGCGGAAGCCUGAUGCAGCAACGCCGCGUGCGGGAUGACGGCCUUCGGGUUGUAAACCGCUUUCGCCUGUGACGAAGCGUGAGUGACGGUAAUGGGUAAAGAAGCACCGGCUAACUACGUG